AGAGAAGUGGGUGAGAGGUUUAAACCGCAUAUUUAGAAAAUAUGUAUAUAAAUUUUAUCAAGGGUUCGAAUCCCUUCUUCUCUU
rnacentral:tRNA from 1 species